AAUUACCGUUAACAACAUUAACCACAUCAUGCUUCGAAUUUUCUGAUAAAACACGGAAGCAAGACUCAAUUUUAGAUCAAAGGCACAAAGGACAAACGAGGCAUCAGAACUUUUACAAAAUGUUGCUAACUGGCUGGCGGCUCAGAAGAAGAAUAAAAACACUUUUACACUUGCG